rnacentral:tRNA from 1 species
GGUCCGGUAGCUCAGCUGGAUAGAGCAACGGCCUUCUAAGCCGUAGGUCGUGGGUUCGAAUCCCGCCCGGAUCA